CGGGGAGUGGCUCAGCUUGGUAGAGCACCUCGUUCGGGACGAGGGGGUCGCAGGUUCAAAUCCUGUCUCCCCGA
rnacentral:tRNA from 1 species